rnacentral:rRNA from 1 species
AGUGAACGCUGGCGGUAGGCCUAACACAUGCAAGUCGAACGGCAGCACAGUAAGAGCUUGCUCUUACGGGUGGCGAGUGGCGGACGGGUGAGGAAUACAUCGGAACCUACUUUUUCGUGGGGGAUAACGUAGGGAAACUUACGCUAAUACCGCAUACGACCUACGGGUGAAAGCAGGGGAUCUUCGGACCUUGCGCGAUUGAAUGAGCCGAUGUCGGAUUAGCUAGUUGGCGGGGUAAAGGCCCACCAAGGCGACGAUCCGUAGCUGGUCUGAGAGGAUGAUCAGCCACACUGGAACUGAGACACGGUCCAGACUCCUACGGGAGGCAGCAGUGGGGAAUAUUGGACAAUGGGCGCAAGCCUGAUCCAGCCAUACCGCGUGAGUGAAGAAGGCCUUCGGGUUGUAAAGCCCUUUUGUUGGGAAAGAAAAGCAGCAGGUUAAUACCCCGCUGUUCUGACGGUACCCAAAGAAUAAGCACCGGCUAACUUCGUG